rnacentral:rRNA from 1 species
UACGUAGGGGGCUAGCGUUGUCCGGAAUCAUUGGGCGUAAAGCGCGUGUAGGCGGUCCGGUAAGUCCGCUGUGAAAGUCGGGGGCUCAACCCUCGGAUGCCGGUCGAUACUGCCGGACUAGAGUUCGGAAGAGGCGAGUGGAAUUCCCGGUGUAGCGGUGAAAUGCGCAGAUAUCGGGAGGAACACCUAUGGCGAAGGCAGCUCGCUGGGACGUUACUGACGCUGAGACGCGAAAGCGUGGGGAGCAAACAGG